rnacentral:rRNA from 1 species
GAUGAACGCUAGCUACAGGCUUAACACAUGCAAGUCGAGGGGCAUCAGUUUGGUUUGCUUGCAAACCAAAGCUGGCGACCGGCGCACGGGUGAGUAACACGUAUCCAACCUGCCUCAUACUCGGGGAUAGCCUUUCGAAAGAAAGAUUAAUAUCCGAUAGCAUAUAUUUCCCGCAUGGGUUUUAUAUUAAAGAAAUUCGGUAUGAGAUGGGGAUGCGUUCCAUUAGUUUGUUGGCGGGGUAACGGCCCACCAAGACUACGAUGGAUAGGGGUUCUGAGAGGAAGGUCCCCCACAUUGGAACUGAGACACGGUCCAAACUCCUACGGGAGGCAGCAGUGAGGAAUAUUGGUCAAUGGACGCGAGUCUGAACCAGCCAAGUAGCGUGAAGGAUGACUGCCCUAUGGGUUGUAAACUUCUUUUAUAUGGGAAUAAAGUGGUCCACGUGUGGAUUUUUGUAUGUACCAUAUGAAUAAGGAUCGGCUAACUCCGUGCCAGCAGCCGCGGUAAUACGGAGGAUCCGAGCGUUAUCCGGAUUUAUUGGGUUUAAAGGGAGCGUAGGCGGAUUGUUAAGUCAGUUGUGAAAGUUUGCGGCUCAACCGUAAAAUUGCAGUUGAUACUGGCAGUCUUGAGUGCAGUAGAGGUGGGCGGAAUUCGUGGUGUAGCGGUGAAAUGCUUAGAUAUCACGAAGAACUCCGAUUGCGAAGGCAGCUCACUGGAGUGUAACUGACGCUGAUGCUCGAAAGUGUGGGUAUCAAACAGGAUUAGAUACCCUGGUAGUCCACACAGUAAACGAUGAAUACUCGCUGUUUGCGAUAUACAGUAAGCGGCCAAGCGAAAG